rnacentral:rRNA from 1 species
AUGAACGCUGGCGGCGUGCCUCAUACAUGCCAGUCGAGCGAACAGAUGAGGAGCUUGCUCCUCUGACGUUAGCGGCGGACGGGUGAGUAACACGUGGAUAACCUACCUAUAAGACUGGGAUAACUUCGGGAAACCGGAGCUAAUACCGGAUAAUAUAUUGAACCGCAUGGUUCAAUAGUGAAAGACGGUUUUGCUGUCACUUAUAGAUGGAUCCGCGCCGCAUUAGCUAGUUGGUAAGGUAACGGCUUACCAAGGCAACGAUGCGUAGCCGACCUGAGAGGGUGAUCGGCCACACUGGAGCUGGGACACGGUCCAGACUCCUACGGGAGGCAGCAGUAGGGAAUCUUCCGCAAUGGGCGAAAGCCUGACGGAGCAACGCCGCGUGAGUGAUGAAGGUCUUCGGAUCGUAAAACUCUGUUAUUAGGGAAGAACAAAUGUGUAAGUAACUAUGCACGUCUUGACGGUACCUAAUCAGAAAGCCACGGCUAACUACGUG